AGACUAGUUGAUGAUUGCAAUGCAUCGUAAAACCUUCAGAGGGAAAGAAUGUUUUAUGGACCAUUUGGGGAUUUUUUGUGUGUGGCAAUUGUUAUUAGGUUUCAAAAGCA
rnacentral:miRNA from 1 species